UUAUUUCUUAGUUAUUUAAUAUAUAAUUAUUAUUUUAUUAUUUUAUAAUAUGCAAAAAAAUAUAAAAUAAGUAUUUAUUCUGCACAAAGCGCAAAUCUUAACCUAAGUGUAUGUAUCUCUUUAGUAAUUUUGAAUCUUAAACAUUUUUUAAAUAUCAUGCCAAAAUAAAAGAAAUAAAUGAGAAUAAACUCAAAAAUCAAUAUUUAUAUCGAGCAAUAACC
rnacentral:lncRNA from 1 species